rnacentral:rRNA from 1 species
GGGUGACAGCGUGCCUUUUGAAGAAUGAGCCUGCGAGUUAGCGAUACGUGGCGAGGUUAACCCGUGUGGGGUAGCCGUAGCGAAAGCGAGUCUGAAUAGGGCGAUUCAGUCGCGUGUCCUAGACCCGAAGCGAAGUGAUCUAUCCAUGGCCAGGUUGAAGCGACGGUAAGACGUCGUGGAGGACCGAACCCACUUAGGUUGAAAACUGAGGGGAUGAGCUGUGGAUAGGGGUGAAAGGCCAAUCAAACUCCGUGAUAGCUGGUUCUCUCCGAAAUGCAUUUAGGUGCAGCGUUGCGUGUUUCUUGCCGGAGGUAGAGCUACUGGAUGGCCGAUGGGCCCUACAAGGUUACUGACGUCAGCCAAACUCCGAAUGCCGGUAAGUGAGAGCGCAGCAGUGAGACUGUGGGGGAUAAGCUUCAUAGUCGAGAGGGAAACAGCCCAGACCACCGGUUAAGGCCCCUAAGCGUGUGCUAAGUGGGAAAGGAUGUGGAGUUGCUUAGACAACCAGGAGGUUGGCUUAGAAGCAGCCACCCUUGAAAGAGUGCGUAAUAGCUCACUGGUCAAGUGAUUCCGCGCCGACAAUGUAACGGGGCUCAAGCACGCCACCGAAGUUGUGGCAUUGACAUUAUUGGUAGGCCUUCGUGGUCCAGCCGUGUUGAUGGGUAGGAGAGCGUCGUGUGGCCAGCGAAGCGGCGGUGUAAACCAGCCGUGGAGGCCACACGAGUGAGAAUGCAGGCAUGAGUAGCGAAAGACGUGUGAGAAACACGUCCUCCGAAAGACCAAGGGUUCCAGGGUCAAGCUAAUCUUCCCUGGGUAAGUCGGGACCUAAGGCGAGGCCGACAGGCGUAGUCGAUGGACAACGGGUUGAUAUUCCCGUACCGGCGAAGAACCGCCCCAAUCAAUCCAGUGGUGCUAAGCGCCCAAAGCCAGACAUCGCCGCCUUCGGGUGGCACCGUCUGGUGGAGCGCGCGACCCCAUGCUGGUGCGGUUAGCGUAUUAACAGGUGUGACGCAGGAAGGUAGCCCAGCCAGGCGAUGGUUGUCCUGGUGCAAGUGCGUAGGCCGAGCGAUAGGCAAAUCCGUCGCUCACAUAGGCUGAGACACGAUGCGGAUGAAAAGUGGGUGAUCCUAUGCUGCCAAGAAAAGCAUCGACGCGAGGUUCUAGCCGCCCGUACCCCAAACCGACACAGGUGGUCAGGUAGAGAAUACUAAGGCGAUCGAGAGAAUCACGGUUAAGGAACUCGGCAAAAUGCCCCCGUAACUUCGGGAGAAGGGGGACCACCCUGGUGAGCGGUCUUUUCGACUGUGAGCUGGUGGUGGUCGCAGAGACCAGGGGGAAGCGACUGUUUACUAAAAACACAGGUCCGUGCGAAGUCGUAAGACGAUGUAUACGGACUGACUCCUGCCCGGUGCCGGAAGGUUAAGAGGACCUGUUAGGGCCUUGGCCCGAAGCGGAGAAUUUAAGCCCCAGUAAACGGCGGUGGUAACUAUAACCAUCCUAAGGUAGCGAAAUUCCUUGUCGGGUAAGUUCCGACCUGCACGAAUGGAGUAACGAGACCCCCGCUGUCUCAACCGUGAACUCGGCGAAAUUGCACUACGAGUAAAGAUGCUCGUUACGCGCAGCAGGACGGAAAGACCCCGAGACCUUUACUAUAGCUUGGUAUUGGUGUUUGACAUCACUUGUGUAGGAUAGGUGGGAGAC